UGUGUGCUGGGUUCUGGUCUGGUUCUGGUUCCUCAGUGUCUCUGUGUGGACUGUAGGACAGAGAGUCUCCUCCUGUGGACACAAACACUCGAUCACACACAUGAGAGGAGUGUUU